CCUACGGGCGACAGCAGUGAGGAAUAUUGGUCAAUGGGCGCUAGCCUGAACCAGCCAAGCAGCGUGAAGGAUGACGGCCCUAAGGAUUGUAAACUUCUUUUGUAUGGGAAUAAAGUGCAGUAUGUAUACUGCUUUGCAUGUACCUUAUGAAUAAGGAUCGGCUAACUCCGUGCCAGCAGCCGCGGUAAUACGGAGGAUCCGAGCGUUAUCCGGAUUUAUUGGGUUUAAAGGGAGCGUAGGCGGGUUGUUAAGUCAGUUGUGAAAGUUUGCGGCUCAACCGUAAAAUUGCAGUUGAUACUGGCAGCCUUGAGUACAGGAGAGGUAGGCGGAAUUCGUGGUGUAGCGGUGAAAUGCUUAGAUAUCACGAAGAACUCCGAUUGCGAAGGCAGCCUGCUGGACUGUAACUGACGCUGAUGCUCGAAAGUGUGGGUAUCAAACAGGAUUAGAUACCCUAGUAGUC
rnacentral:rRNA from 1 species